UAGGGACACUCGCGAGGCCAUAUCGUCCUCGCGACCUCCCAUAUACACCCCCACCGUGACACUCUCACGUAAUAACGAGCCGAGGCUGUAUACGCCCCAGGGCUCCCCGAGGACGCGGAGGGGUCCAUCCCACGCCUAGUGGAAUCCCUAUACUCUGCGCUGGGGAGAAGCUUAGUUCACCAAUGUCUCGGGGGUAGGGACACUCGCGAGGCCAAAGCGUCAUCGCGACAUCCCAUAUACACCCCCACCGUGACACUCUCACGUAAUAACGAGCCGAGGCUGUAUACGCCUAGGGCCCCUCGAGGACGCGGAGGGGUCCGUCCCAUGCCUAGUGGAAGCCCUAUGCUUCGCGCUGGGGAGAAGAUGGCGGCAAUCAAGACAGUACGCCAAUGAC
rnacentral:lncRNA from 1 species